CGCGCCGGGCUGGCAACGGGAAAAACGGGGAAAAACGGGGAAAAACGGGAAUUUGGGAAUUGGGGAAAUUGGGGGAAAAUCGGGGGAGGGGGUUGGGGCGAAAAAUCGGGGGGGUUGGGGGGGGAAAUUAGGGGGAUUUAGGGGAAAAAAGGGGAUUUUUUUGGGGAAAAAGUGGAUUUUUGGCAGAGAAAAAGGGAUUAUUUUGGGAACAAAUAAGGGAGUUUUGGGGGAAAAAGGGAUUUUUGGGGGAAAUCAGGGGUUUGGGGGAAAAGCAGAGGAUUUUAGGGGGAAAAGGAGAUUUUUGGCCAAGAAAAAAGGGGUUUUUUUUGGAACAAAUAAGGGAGUUUGGGGUUCAGAAGAGGAUUUUUGUGGGGAUGUCCAAGGCAGGAUUUUGGGGUUCUGAAGGGAAUUUUUUGGGUUCAGAAGGGGAUUUUUGGGGGACGUUCCCAAUCAGGAUUUUGGGGUUCUGAAGCGGAUUUUGGGGGACGUUCCCAAUCAGGAUUUCGUGGUUCCGAGGUGGAUUUUGGGGCUCCCAAUCAGGAUUUGGGGGUUCCAAAGCGGAUUUCGGGGCUCCCCAUCAGUAUUUUGCGGUUCCGAGGCGGAUUUCGGGGCUCCCAAUCAGGAUUUCGUGGUUCAGAGGUGGAUUUUGGGGCUCCCAAUCAGGAUUUGGGGGUUCCAAAGCAGAUUUCGGGACUCCCAAUCAGGAUUUGGGGGUCCCAAAGCAGAUUUCGGGGUCCCAUGCAGGAUUUGGGGUCCCGCUCACCUGGCGGGCCCGGCCAGCGAGCUGCGGCGCCCGGGGCCCCCCCGGGGGGGGGAGGGGGGG
rnacentral:lncRNA from 1 species